UACGUAGGGAGCUAGCGUUGUCCGGAUUUAUUGGGCGUAAAGAGCGUGUAGGCGGCUAGGUAGGUCUGCUGUGAAAACUCGAGGCUCAACCUCGAGCUGUCGGCGGAAACCAUCUGGCUAGAGUCCGGAAGAGGAGAGUGGAAUUCCUGGUGUAGCGGUGAAAUGCGCAGAUAUCAGGAGGAACACCGAUGGCGAAGGCAGGUCUCUGGGCCACGACUGACGCUGAGAAGCGAAAGCAUGGGGAGCAAACAGG
rnacentral:rRNA from 1 species